UAGCGAAAUUCCUUGUCGGGUAAGUUCCGACCCGCACGAAAGGCGUAAUGAUUUGAGCGCUGUCUCGACAAUGCAUCCGGUGAAAUUGAAGUACCAGUGAAGAUGCUGGUUACCUGCGCCAGGACGGAAAGACCCCAUGGAGCUUUACUCCAGUUUGGUACUGGGAUCCGGUACUGCAUGUACAGGAUAGGUGGGAGGCUGAGAAUCGGUAACGCCAGUUGCCGAGGAGCCGCUGUUGGGAUACCACCCUUGCAGUAUUGGGUUUCUAACCAGCCGCCGUGACCCGGCGGUGGGACAAUGCCAGACGGGGAGUUUGACUGGGGCGGUCGCCUCCGAAAGGGUAUCGGAGGCGCCCAAAGGUUCCCUCAGAAUGGACGGAAACCAUUCGAAGAGUGCAAAGGCAGAAGGGAGCUUGACUGCGACACCGACGGGUGGAGCAGGUACGAAAGUAGGACUUAGUGAUCCGGUGGUAUAAAGUGGGAUUGCCAUCGCUCAACGGAUAAAAGCUACCCUGGGGAUAACAGGCUUAUCACUCCCAAGAGUUCACAUCGACGGAGUGGUUUGGCACCUCGAUGUCGGCUCAUCGCAUCCUGGGGCUGUAGUAGGUCCCAAGGGUUGGGCUGUUCGCCCAUUAAAGCGGUACGCGAGCUGGGUUCAGAACGUCGUGAGACAGUUCGGUCCCUAUCCGGCGCGGGCGGAGGAUAUUUGAGAGGAGCUGUCCUUAGUACGAGAGGACCGGGAUGGACGGACCACUGGUGUAUCUGUUGUCGACCAACGGCAUGGCAGAGUAGCCAAGUCUGGAAGGGAUAAACGCUGAAGGCAUCUAAGCGUGAAGCCCCCCUCAAGAUGAGAUAUCCCAACGUAAGUUGUAAGACCCCUUGAAGACGACAAGGUAGAUAGGGCAGAGGUGGAAGUGCAGUAAUGCAUGGAGCUGACUGUUACUAAUCGGGUGAGGGCUUGACCAA
rnacentral:rRNA from 1 species